CUUCCGAUGGCGACCGGCGCACGGGUGAGUAACACGUAUCCAACCUGCCGAUAACUCGGGGAUAGCCUUUCGAAAGAAAGAUUAAUAUCCGAUAGGAUAUCAAGGUCGCAUGAUCUUGAUAUUAAAGAAUUUCGGUUAUCGAUGGGGAUGCGUUCCAUUAGUUAGUUGGCGGGGUAACGGCCCACCAAGACGACGAUGGAUAGGGGUUCUGAGAGGAAGGUCCCCCACAUUGGAACUGAGACACGGACCAGACUCCUACGGAAGGCAGCAG
rnacentral:rRNA from 1 species